UUUUUAAUAUAAUGUGAUGGACUUCCAAUUUUUUUUAGUAGCAUAAGCUCAUUAUUAUUUUUUUCUAACUUACUGCUAUCCAUGUUUCCAAACAGUACUAUUUUUUAACUACUAUCCAUAAUGUGUACUUCAACUUUAAUAAUAUGGGUUGACAUCAAUUGGCCCCCUAAACUGCUCAAACCAAUAAUUUUUCCACCCAGACUUUGGGCUUCAUCAAUCGUCCACCUACACUAAUAAUUGCAUCAAUUUUCCACAAUUUAAGUUAAUUAAACUAGAUCACGUGUCAAAACAUAAAUUGCGUUAUAUUAAAACUGAUUGCCCAAUACCCAACCCGACCCUUACCCUUUAACCCAAUUUCCCCCUUACAUUAAAACUGUCGUGUUCUCUUCUUCUUCCUAAAGAAUUAGGGUUCAUCUUAAGAUCUGGGGAAAAUAGAACUUGCAACCAUGGAGAAGAGUCAGAGUGCAUCAGACACAUCAAAAUCUGGGAAUAGUUCAAGGCGACGGUGUUCCAACACGCUGCUGGUGCAGAGAAGGGAUUGUUACAUUUUUCCAGUUUCUCUGCUUCUUAACGUCAAAGUUAUCGUUGUGACUUUCAAAAGCAAAACAGCAUUCCUAUAUUCUUGAUCGAUGUUGCUGUCACAGCUUUCACGAGCAGAACAAGGCUAAACUGAAUGUAUAUGUUGGCUUGAGUUAUGAGUGUUAAUGAGCAAUGAACAAGAGAAUUGUAUUUUUGUUGCAGAGAAAUGAUGAAGAUCAUCUCUUCAAGUAGGUUGCUGAAGCUUUAGUUGAGGAGAUUUCUUUGGUUGAAGCAAGAGAAAGAACAGUUUAUAAAGAUUUUGAAGAUAUGAGGAAGACUGAGAAAAGUGAAGAAGAUGUGGCUUGAGCCUAUUCUCCGGCUGAAUUGCUCUAUGAACAAUGGUUGUCUAGGUGUCAUUACAUGGCUUUGUUACAUGGCUUUGUUGUAAACUUUAGUAAUUGUCAAUGUUAGUAGACAAUUUUGUAUUGUGUUGUUUGUCAAGGUCAUGUAAAUUGGAGCCAAAAUACAAUAUAUACUUCUUAAAAUAGA